AUCCCACUGCUUUCUCCCCACCCCAGCCAAGCUCCUAUUGCUGACUGUACCAUCACCUCUCGGGGGUCCCCAAGGAGAGGGGUAUUACAGAAGCUGUUCCCCGUGGCAGGAGCUGGCAUUUCACAUGGCCACAAAGUGAGAAGCCCAUCCCCAGGAGGCUGCCGAAGAGGAAAAGGAUGCUGACAAGUGCUCCUCACGCCGUGCCAACCUGAGCUGUGUUGCUGUGUGCCAUCACAGUCAGUGGGUAUCAGGUUGGUCCUGGACUUUCUGCAAUAGAGAACAAGCUGGGUAAUACUCCAUGUCAACUCCAGAGUGCAGUGCUGUGUGUAUCCUCUUCGCCAGUGUUUCCCUGUAUCUGCUGAUGACUUUGAGUUGCUCACCUUCCAGGCUGAGUGCUCAGCACAACAGGACCAGAUCCCAGUGAGCUCCGCCUGCUUUACUCUGCGCUGGGCAUACGCAGGUCACACUGUGCAGCAGAAUUUAAGCUGUUUGAAUGAGUGUUAUUAACACAGAUAAUAAACGAGCCCAGAGCAUUAUGGGCAUUGCUUACCCAUCAUCUGGAACUUCCAGCCUUAAAAAACAUGAGAAGUUCUGUUGCUUUUUUUGUGUCACCAAUAACCUAUGAAGCAGAUAUUUUGUGUGAGGCUAUUUAGGGAGCUCCGUGGGCUGCUCCUGGGAGAUUUCAAGCCAACUGUUACAUGUCUCAGUAUUUCUGAUUUACUGGCUGGGACAAAAACAACGUACAGAAACCCACGAUUCAUUCCAUUUACUGCUACUUUUUUAAACACCAGUACUGCAGCUCACUGCUUCUGUGCCAUGAGCCCCAAGAGCACCUCUGAUUUCAAUUAAGAAGUGUUGUCUUUCCUGUGAAGAGAUGUCACCAACUUUGAAACUAUGGCAUUGCAACGUAGUAACAUGCACUGAGAGGCUGAGCGCUCUGCCACCCCACAGGUGAGGAAGGCAACGACCUCAUCAUGGCCAAAAUUAUUCACGCCGCACAAACCCAGGAAGUAAACUGGGAGAUAAAGCACUGCACGCAGCAAAGGAAUGUCUGUUGGCAUUCAGAGCUGAAGGAGGCAGCAUCUCAUGUCCUGCUCCUUCCCACCAGGAAGGUGAAGUGCAUGAAGUGGGGGAAGCAAAGGAGGAAGGAAUGGGGGGUGUGUGGGGACAGCUGCAGUUGGAUGUGGCUCUGCUGCUUUGCAGGAAGGUGAG
ensembl:lncRNA